AGUGAACGCUGGCGGCAGGCCUAACACAUGCAAGUCGAACGGUAGCACAGAGGAGCUUGCUCCUUGGGUGACGAGUGGAGGACGGGUGAGGAAUAUAUCGGAAUCUACCCAAUCGUGGGGGAUAACGUAGGGAAACUUACGCUAAUACCGCAUACGAUCUGAGGAUGAAAGCGGCUGACCGCAAGGCGUCGCGCGAUUGCAUGAUCCGAUAUCCGAUUAGCUAGUUGGUAAGGUAAAGGCUUACCGAGGCGACGAUCGGUAGCUGGUCUGAGAGGAUGAUCAGCCACACUGGAACGGAGACACGGUCCAGACUCCUACUGGAGGCAGCAGUGGGGAAUAUUGGACAAUGGGCGCAAGCCUGAUCCAGCCAUGCCGCGUGUGUGAAGAAGGCCUUCGGGUUGUAAAGCACUUUUGUUGGGAAAGAAAAGCGGUCGGUUAAUACCCGGUCGUUCUGACGGUACCCAAAGAAUAAGCACCGGCUAACUUCGUGCCAGCCGCCGCGGUAAGAC
rnacentral:rRNA from 1 species